AGAGUUUGAUCAUGGCUCAGGACGAACGCUGGCGGCAUGCCUAAUACAUGCAAGUCGAGCGGAAUGACGAGAGCUUGCUCUCUGAUUUUAGCGGCGGACGGGUGAGUAACACGUGGGCAACCUGCCCUACAGAUGGGGAUAACUCCGGGAAACCGGGGCUAAUACCGAAUAAUCAGUUUGUCCGCAUGGACAAACUCUGAAAGACGGUUUCGGCUGUCACUGUAGGAUGGGCCCGCGGCGCAUUAGCUAGUUGGUGGGGUAAUGGCCUACCAAGGCAACGAUGCGUAGCCGACCUGAGAGGGUGAUCGGCCACACUGGGACUGAGACACGGCCCAGACUCCUACGGGAGGCAGCAGUAGGGAAUCUUCCACAAUGGACGAAAGUCUGAUGGAGCAAUGCCGCGUGAGCGAAGAAGGUUUUCGGAUCGUAAAGCUCUGUUGUAAGGGAAGAACACGUACGGGAGUAACUGCCCGUGCCAUGACGGUACCUUAUUAGAAAGCCACGGCUAACUACGUGCCAGCAGCCGCGGUAAUACGUAGGUGGCAAGCGUUGUCCGGAAUUAUUGGGCGUAAAGCGCGCGCAGGCGGUUCUUUAAGUCUGAUGUGAAAGCCCACGGCUCAACCGUGGAGGGUCAUUGGAAACUGGAGAACUUGAGUACAGAAGAGGAAAGCGGAAUUCCACGUGUAGCGGUGAAAUGCGUAGAGAUGUGGAGGAACACCAGUGGCGAAGGCGGCUUUCUGGUCUGUAACUGACGCUGAGGCGCGAAAGCGUGGGGAGCAAACAGGAUUAGAUACCCUGCUAGUCCACGCCGUAAACGAUGAGUGCUAAGUGUUAGGGGGUUUCCGCCCCUUAGUGCUGCAGCUAAC
rnacentral:rRNA from 1 species